ACUGGGGAUAAUUCCGGAUAGGCCACAGAUGCUGGAAUGCACUGUGGCUCAAAGCUCCGGCGCCGAAGGAUGGGUCUGCGGCCUAUCAGGGUUGUAGUGGGUGUAAUGUACCUACUAGCCUACGACGGGUACGGGUUGUGAGAGCAAGAGCCCGGAGAUGGAUUCUGAGACACGAAUCCAUGCCCUACGGGGUGCAGCAGGCGCGAAAACUUUACAAUGCGGGAAACCGUGAUAAGGGAAUCUCGAGUGCCAGCAUAUAAUGUUGGCUGUCCAGAUGCCUAAAAAGCAUCUGUUAGCAAGGGCCGGGCAAGACCGGUGCCAGCCGCCGCGGUAACACCGGCGGCCCGAGUGGUAACCGCUUUUAUUGGGUCUAAAGGGUCUGUAGCCGGCCAUGUAAGUCCCUUGGGAAAUCUGGCAGCUCAACUGUCAGGCUGCUAGGGGAUACUGCUUGGCUUGGGACCGGGAGAGGUGAGAGGUACCUUGAGGGUAGGGGUGAAAUCUUGUGAUCCUCGGGGGACCACCAGUGGCGAAGGCGUCUCACCAGAACGGGUCCGACGGUAAGGGACGAAAGCUAGGGGCACGAACCGGAUUAGAUACCCGGGUAGUCCUAGCCGUAAACGAUGCUCGCUAGGUGUCAGUCACGGUGCGACCGUGAUUGGUGCCGUAGGGAAGCCGUGAAGCGAGCCACCUGGGAAGUACGGCCGCAAGGCUGAGACUUAAAGGAAUUGGCGGGGGAGCACUACAACGGGUGGAGCCUGCGGUU
rnacentral:rRNA from 1 species